rnacentral:rRNA from 1 species
UGGGGAAUUUUGGACAAUGGGCGAAAGCCUGAUCCAGCAAUGCCGCGUGUGUGAAGAAGGCCUUCGGGUUGUAAAGCACUUUUGUCCGGAAAGAAAUCCUUGGCUCUAAUACAGUCGGGGGAUGACGGUACCGGAAGAAUAAGCACCGGCUAACUACGUGCCAGCAGCCGCGGUAAUACGUAGGGUGCAAGCGUUAAUCGGAAUUACUGGGCGUAAAGCGUGCGCAGGCGGUUUGCUAAGACCGAUGUGAAAUCCCCGGGCUCAACCUGGGAACUGCAUUGGUGACUGGCAGGCUAGAGUAUGGCAGAGGGGGGUAGAAUUCCACGUGUAGCAGUGAAAUGCGUAGAGAUGUGGAGGAAUACCGAUGGCGAAGGCAGCCCCCUGGGCCAAUACUGACGCUCAUGCACGAAAGCGUGGGGAGCAAACAGGAUUAGAUACCCUGGUAGUCCACGCCCUAAACGAUGUCAACUAGUUGUUGGGGAUUCAUUCCUUAGUAACGUAGCUAACGCGUGAAGUUGACCGCCUGGGGAGUACGGUCGCAAGAUUAAAACUUAAAGGAAUUGACGGGGUCAUAGCUGUUU